rnacentral:rRNA from 1 species
CUAGCCGUAAACGAUGUAGACUUGGCGUCGGUGGUUUAAUAUCCAUCGGUGUCGUAGCUAACGCGAUAAGUCUACCGCCUGGGGACUACGGCCGCAAGGUUAAAACUCAAAGGAAUUGACGGGUCCCCGCACAAGCAGCGGAGCGUGUGGUUUAAUUCGUUGCUACACGAAGAACCUUACCUGGGUUUGACAUAAAGGUGGUAGGGAGCCGAAAGGUGACCGACCCUUCGGGGAGCCUUUACAGGUGU